rnacentral:lncRNA from 1 species
GACUCGGAGGCCUGGCGCAGGGCCCCGCUCCGUGGUGGGGGUUUGAGGGCUGGGCGGCCAACAGGUGGGCCGUUGCAAGUCGCUAUAUGGCUGGCAGGGAUUCCAUCCAGACCCGACAGCUCUCAACCAGCUGCUUCUUGAGCUCUGGCUACCCUGGUGGUCUUCAGCGCUCUGCUUCUCCAAGGAGUUUAUGGAAUGUGGACCUAGUCAAGCCUGUUCUGAGUCAUCAAGUGUGUGAGAUGGGAAUAAACAGCUGCUGCUACUGUAAUAUCGGGCAUUCACUUCACAGACACUGUUGGGGACCUCCUGUGCAUGCCGCGUGUGGGGGAAAGAGACAUACCCAACGCUACACAGGGUCUGUGCCCUUGGGGACCCUUCCAUCAAAUGGUAAUAAGAUAGAAACAUCCAGAAAGAGUCACCAGAGGGGCCAAUUAGGAAAGGCUCUCUAGUGGGUCAGAUGGACCUAGAGAGGAGCCUUGGAAGUUGGCACCUUCUAACCUGGCAUGAGGAAGAGUUCCUUGUUGGAGAAAGUUGGAGAUGAUCUUGGGGUCCUGCCUUGUUGCUGGAGAGAUGUGACUCAUAAACCAGCAGGUGAUGCAGACUGGGAUAGGACUUUUCUGGCCAUAGCCCUACCCUCUGCAUGUCCCAACUCAGGGACCAGCAAGUCCCCAUCAAUGUGGUCUAUGGACUGGAGUCAAAUCUGAUUCUCAGUCCCUCGCCAUGGUGGCCUCUCUGCAUCUCCAUGAUGCAAACAUUUGUAUAGAGUCUACCUGGUGUGCAGGCCACUGUGCCCUCAGCCCAAAGAUGGCAGAAUGUGGCUUGGGAAUCCUAUAUACCAGGCUUGGCUUCUGCUGUG